rnacentral:rRNA from 1 species
GAUGAACGCUGGCGGCGUGCCUAAUACAUGCAAGUCGAGCGCAGCGGGGACGGGUGAGUAACACGUAGAUACCCUCCUAUAACUCUGGGACAAAUUCGGGAAACCGUAGCUAAAGCGGAUAUUCAUAGAUGGCUCCUCGCUGCAUUAGCUAGUUGGUAAGGUAACGGCUUACCAAGGCAACGAUGCAUAGCCGACCUGAGAGGGUGAUCGGCCACACUGGAACUGAGACACGGUCCAGACUCCUACGGGAGGCAGCAGUAGGGAAUCUUCGGCAAUGGACGAAAGCCUGACGGAGCAACGCCGCGUGAGUGAUGAAGGUCUUCGGAUCGUAAAACUCUGUUAUUAGGGAAGCGGUACCUAACCAGAAAGCCACGGCUAACUACGUGCCAGCAGCCGCGGUAAUUC